GAUGAACGCUGGCGGCGUGCCUAAUACAUGCAAGUCGAACGCUGGAAAUCUAGCUUGCUAGAUUGAAGGAGUGGCGAACGGGUGAGUAAUACAUAAGCAACCUACCCACGAAGACUGGGAUAAUCUCUGGAAACGGGGACUAAUACCGGAUAGGUAAUCGGAAGGCAUCUUCUGAUUAUUAAAGGUUAAAAACACUGGUGGAUGGGCUUAUGGCGCAUUAGUUAGUUGGUGAGGUAACGGCCCACCAAGACGAUGAUGCGUAGCCGGUCUGAGAGGGUGAACGGCCACAUUGGGACUGAGACACGGCCCAGACUCCUACGGGAGGCAGCAGUAGGGAAUUUUCGGCAAUGGGGGAAACCCUGACCGAGCAACGCCGCGUGAGUGAUGACGGCCUUCGGGUUGUAAAGCUCUGUUGUAAGGGAAGAACGGUAGAUAGAGAAUAUCUAAAUGACGGUACCUUAACAGAAAGCCACGGCUAACUACGUG
rnacentral:rRNA from 1 species